rnacentral:misc_RNA from 1 species
CUUGUUUUGCUAUGUGCCCCAUGCUCCUUCGGGGGCGGUCAUGGAUGCAGAGAUUGGCCCUCCGUGCCUCGUGUGUGGCGGGCUUAAGCGCGGGCUGUCGGCGUCGGGAUGGACACGACGAGUGGUGGACGGAGCACCAGUAGGAUGUCGUGGCCCCCUGUCGCCUAAAAGGGGCUCAAGAGAUCCAGACUAGUCGAGCCGUGCUCCGUACGAGGAGGGCGAGCUGUCUCGCAAU